UACGAAGGGGGCUAGCGUUGCUCGGAAUCACUGGGCGUAAAGCGCACGUAGGCGGAUCGCUAAGUCAGGGGUGAAAUCCUGGAGCUCAACUCCAGAACUGCCUUUGAUACUGGCAAUCUCGAGUCCGGGAGAGGUGAGUGGAACUGCGAGUGUAGAGGUGAAAUUCGUAGAUAUUCGCAAGAACACCAGUGGCGAAGGCGGCUCACUGGUCCGGUACUGACGCUGAGGUGCGAAAGCGUGGGGAGCAAACAGG
rnacentral:rRNA from 1 species